UGGGGAAUUUUGGACAAUGGGGGCAACCCUGAUCCAGCCAUGCCGCGUGAGUGACGAAGGUCUUCGGAUUGUAAAACUCUUUUGGCGGGGACGAUAAUGACGGUACCCGCAGAAUAAGCCCCGGCUAACUUCGUGCCAGCAGCCGCGGUAAUACGAAGGGGGCUAGCGUUGUUCGGAAUCACUGGGCGUAAAGGGCGUGUAGGCGGUCUGUUAAGUCUGAUGUGAAAUCCCCUCGCUCAACGAGGGAACUGCGUCCGAUACAGCACGUCUCGAGUCCGGAAGAGGUGAGUGGAAUUCCUAGUGUAGAGGUGAAAUUCGUAGAUAUUAGGAAGAACACCAGUGGCGAAGGCGGCUAACUGGUCCGGUACUGACGCUGAGGUGCGAAAGCGUGGGGAGCAAACAGGAUUAGAUACCCCUGUAGUCCCUGAGCGGGCUGGCAAGGCGCAU
rnacentral:rRNA from 1 species